AGAGUUUGAUCCUGGCUCAGGACGAACGCUGGCGGCGUGCCUAAUACAUGCAAGUCGAGCGAACCACUUCGGUGGUUAGCGGCGGACGGGUGAGUAACACGUGGGCAACCUGCCUGUAAGACUGGGAUAACACCGGGAAACCGGUGCUAAUACCGGAUAAUCCUUUUCCUCUCAUGAGGGAAAGCUGAAAGACGGUUUCGGCUGUCACUUACAGAUGGGCCCGCGGCGCAUUAGCUAGUUGGUGAGGUAACGGCUCACCAAGGCGACGAUGCGUAGCCGACCUGAGAGGGUGAUCGGCCACACUGGGACUGAGACACGGCCCAGACUCCUACGGGAGGCAGCGGUAGGGAAUCUUCCACAAUGGACGAAAGUCUGAUGGAGCAACGCCGCGUGAGCGAUGAAGGCCUUCGGGUCGUAAAGCUCUGUUGUUAGGGAAGAACAAGUAUCGGAGUAACUGCCGGUACCUUGACGGUACCUAACCAGAAAGCCACGGCUAACUACGUGCCAGCAGCCGCGGUAAUACGUAGGUGGCAAGCGUUGUCCGGAAUUAUUGGGCGUAAAGCGCGCGCAGGCGGUCCUUUAAGUCUGAUGUGAAAGCCCACGGCUCAACCGUGGAGGGUCAUUGGAAACUGGGGGACUUGAGUGCAGAAGAGGAAAGCGGAAUUCCACGUGUAGCGGUGAAAUGCGUAGAGAUGUGGAGGAACACCAGUGGCGAAGGCGGCUUUCUGGUCUGUAACUGACGCUGAGGCGCGAAAGCGUGGGGAGCAAACAGGAUUAGAUACCCUGGUAGUCCACGCCGUAAACGAUGAGUGCUAAGUGUUAGGGGGUUUCCGCCCCUUAGUGCUGCAGCUAACGCAUUAAGCACUCCGCCUGGGAGUACGGCCGCAAGGCUGAAACUCAAAUGAAUUGACGG
rnacentral:rRNA from 1 species